UUUGGUCAAUUUUUCCACUGUCAAUUUCUUCACCCAGAUGCAGAUCACCCCAACAACAUAAACAGUAGCAGGUCCAUCAGAUGAACGGUGCAGAUUUCGCACUACCCAGGCUCCUUCUCUAAUAAAGAAAUUCAAGAAAGAAAUAGAGAGAGACCACAUUCAAGUAAGAAAAAAAGAAGUAGCCGUUGGAGCCUCCACACUAUAAGAAGCAGUUCAAAACAUAUGAAAUGAAAUGCCAGACCUAAACAGACCUCUCUUUUUUGUUGGUGUUUUUGAAAAAAAAAAAUUCAAGAUUUUCAACGGCUAAAAUCUCUUUAGACAUUUCAGAUUGCAAUUCCUUGAAUCAGAUUCACUCUCUCAUCUCGUUUUCAAAAUUCAAAUUUAUUUUAGUUUUUCACUCCGCAAAAUCCUCCCAAAACCUCUCAAAUCUCUCUGAAAUUCGAAUCUUUCUUCGUAGAAAUAUUCAAUUCUCAGCGCCUCCUAUGCAAAUGGAAGCCAAUCAAAACAGAUUUCCAAAGAGAAAUGGCAAUGCCAAAGCUUACAAUUUCACAAACCACUCCAAUUCCUUCUCAAAUCAAAGCAUUUCUCGUAAUCAGGCCAGUCGGAAACUUGGUCUAACCAAAGACCGAAAUUCCACUACGAAGCGUCUUAAAACCUCCGAUCAUCAUUCAAGAAAAGACCAACGGUGGAUGAUCAUGACCGAGUCCUUGAUCAUCGCAUCGACGGAUCGACUGGGUCCAGACCCGGCUGAUCUUCCAAAGGAAGUUUCGGAGGUAAACCCAUAUGAAGCUCAUCAACCGUCCCAGAGGGAGAAAAUAGAUCGAAGGCAGGGGAUCAUCCCAUCUUAAAGAAGGCAUGAUGAAGGGUGGAUUGUCUAUGAUAUAUAUGACCUUGCUUUUUCUAAAAGGAGUAUCAGAUCAUAAAUAGAACGAGAUGUAUCAUACAUGUAGAAACAAAGGAAUGUAUAGGAUUUUGUUAUAGACGUU